GACGAACGCUGGCGGCGUGCCUAAUACAUGCAAGUCGAACGCAGUGGGGACGGGUGAGUAACACGUGGGUAACCUCCCAUCAGAGGAGAUAAAACUUGGAAACAGGUGCUAAAACCGAUACUGAUGGAGGGACCCGCGGGUCAUUAGCUAGUUGGUGACGUAACGGCUCACCAAGGCCACGAGGCAUAGAUGAGCUGUGAGGGUGAUCGGCCACACUGGGCUCGAGACACGGCCCAGACUCCUACGGGAGGCAGCAGUAGGGAAUCUUCGGCAAUGGACGAAAGUCUGACCGAGCAACGCCGCGUGAGUGAAGAAGGUUUUCGGAUCGUAAAACUCAGUUGUUAGAGAAGCGGUAUCUAACCAGAAAGCCACGGCUAACUACGUGCCAGCAGCCGCGGUAAUAC
rnacentral:rRNA from 1 species